UACACAAUGCAGCCGAGCGGUAGAGAUUCUUCGGGAUCUUGAGAGCGGCGUACGGGUGCGGAACACGUGUGCAACCUGCCUUUAUCAAGGGGAUAGCCUUUCGAAAGGAAGAUUAAUACCCUAUAAUAUAUGAUUCGGCAUCGGAUUAUAUUGAAAACUACGGUGGAUAAAGAUGGGCACGCGCAAGAUUAGCUAGUUGGUGAGGUAACGGCUCACCAAGGCGACGAUCUUUAGGGGGCCUGAGAGGGUGAUCCCCCACACUGGUACUGAGACACGGACCAGACUCCUACGGGAGGCAGCAGUGAGGAAUAUUGGACAAUGGGUGCAAGCCUGAUCCAGCCAUCCCGCGUGUAGGAAGACGGCCCUAUGGGUUGUAAACUACUUUUAUCUGGGGAUAAACCUACUUACGUGUAAGUAGCUGAAGGUACCAGAUGAAUAAGCACCGGCUAACUCCGUGCCAGCAGCCGCGGUAAUACGGAGGGUGCAAGCGUUAUCCGGA
rnacentral:rRNA from 1 species